AAUCCAGCAGUGCAUCUAACUGCUGCUGCUUUUCUAUUUCCUGGCUAUACAAAUUGUCACUUUAGAGGCCUCUGGGACACAAAGGUCCACAAUGACUGCCUGGAAGAAGCUUCAAUUUGCACAUUAUGACAAAAGGACUAUAGUGGAAAUUGAGUCACUAGCAUGUCUUAAAUCCAGCAGCCAAAAUCCUGGAGGAGCUCAUUCAGGCUAAGAGUGCUGCGUCAUUCACAAUUCUGAUGUCUGCUGAUGUCUUUGCUUUGAUAUCUAAUGUUUAUCACCAACAGAGCUCUGAGCAGCUGUGAUGGUUUAGUACCAUCGCAAUGCAAUUUGCUGAUCAUUGACAAUGUCUAAAAUUAAAUACAACAAUGCUUUAUU